rnacentral:RNase_P_RNA from 1 species
UCAGCCGGCCGGACGGCCGCUCCCGCAAGCGCGGAAACGCCGCGGGGGAGGAAAGUCCGGGCUCCACGGAAACACGGUGCCGGGUAACACCCGGCGGGGGCGACCCCAGGGAAAGUGCCACAGAAAGCAAACCGCCCCGGGCGACAAGCCAAGGGGUAAGGGUGAAAGGGUGGGGUAAGAGCCCACCGCGCGACCGGUAACGGAAGCGGCACGGUAAACCCCACCGGGAGCAAGACCGAAUAGGGGCGGCAUGGGAUCCUCGCGAUCCCGGUCGGUUUCCAGGCCAGCCGCCCGGGUUGGUUGCGUGAGGCGCCCGGCAACGGGCGUCCCAGAUGAAUGGUCGUCACGUACGGCGGGUUUCCCGCCGUGCCAUACAAAACCCGGCUUACAGGCCGGCUGACAUU